rnacentral:lncRNA from 1 species
GGAGAUUCUGUAUUUAAAGAUGAAAGAUUGCGAUGAGCCUACGCUCGAUGAAGGGCCAGAGCCUGGUUCCCGAUGAGGUAUGGUGUUCGAUGGUGCUAUUAAUUAAUAUGGAAAUGGUAUUGGGGCAGUGAUUAUUACUCCUCAAGACACACAUUUCCCUUUUAAAACAAGGUUGACUUUCAAAUGCACGAAUAAUAUGGCGGAGUAUG